UACGGGGGGGGCAAGCGUUGUUCGGAAUUACUGGGCGUAAAGGGCGCGUAGGCGGCCAGACCAAGUCGAGUGUGAAAUUGCAGGGCUUAACUUUGCAGGGUCGCUCGAUACUGGUCGGCUAGAGUGUGGAAGAGGGUGCUGGAAUUCCCGGUGUAGCGGUGAAAUGCGUAGAUAUCGGGAAGAACACCAGUGGCGAAGGCGGGCACCUGGGCCGACACUGACGCUGAGGCGCGAAAGCUAGGGGAGCAAACAGG
rnacentral:rRNA from 1 species